rnacentral:rRNA from 1 species
GACAGAGGGUGCAAACGUUAUUCGGAAUCACUGGGCUUACAGGGUGCGUAGGCGGCUCAACAAGUCAGGUGUGAAAGCCCCGGGCUCAACCUGGGAACCGCGCUUGAGACUGGAGUACUAGAGUUCGGGAGAGGAUGGUGGAAUUCCCAGUGUAGAGGUGAAAUUCGUAGAUAUUGGGAAGAACACCGAUGGCGAAGGCAGCCAUCUGGACCGACACUGACGCUGAGGCGCGAAAGCGUGGGGAGCAAACAGG